UACGGAGGGUGCGAGCGUUGUUCGGAAUUAUUGGGCGUAAAGCGCGCGUAGGCGGGACGACGAGUCCGGUGUGAAAACCCUCGGCUCAACCGGGGAAUUGCACUGGAUACUGGCGACCUUGAGUCCUGGAGAGGGUGGCGGAAUUCCCAGUGUAGAGGUGAAAUUCGUAGAUAUUGGGAGGAACACCGGUGGCGAAGGCGGCCACCUGGACAGUGACUGACGCUGAGGCGCGAAAGCAUGGGUAGCAAACAGG
rnacentral:rRNA from 1 species